GUCCAGCAGUACCUACCUUAACACAGUCCACAACGCUACAUAUACAGCAGACAGUCUACAACCGCUAAAAUCAUCACGCAACAAAUCCAACACCCUACAUCGUCUGACGACCUGCACACGCUGACACGCUGUCCAUUUUCGGCACAUUUCAUAUACACCACAAACCGUUCUUCGCCGUCAACAUAAUCACGCAACAAAUCCAACACCCUAAAUCGUCUGACGACCUGCACACGCUGACACGCUGUCCAUUUUCGGCACAUUUCAUAUACACCACAAACCGUUCUUCGCCGUCAACAUAAUCACGAUGUCUGACAACAUUGGAAACAACGAUUCAAUGGCCCAAGGCGCAGAAAAUGGCAGUGGCGUGAGCGGCCACCGCCAUACGAAUGUUAUACGACCUGACCUGUCACCCGAGUUGCUCUUGGUCAUUCCCAAGUGGAUGCAACCAAGAGUGAGACUUCUAAGUUCUGAAAACCUACCUACGACUCUUCCGAUAAUUUACGAGAUAAGUCUGGAUUAUUAUGAUCGAGAUGAAUCUACCGAGGGCACGAGCCGUCAGGAAGGUGAGAGUGUCGAAGAUAAUAGGGGCAAACGAUUGGAGACAAUUAUUGAAGAAUGAUCGACAACGUAUAAUAUUAUAAUGUAACAAUUUAAAAUAACAAUAAUAAUAAUAGUAAGAGUUGAACAUUAAAAAAGGUCAAAAGUUAGAGCCGCGUGCAAUAUAACAGCUAUAAUUGUAAAACAUAAUUGUACGUCAUAAAUCAUAUUAAUACAUAUUAUAAAAUCCGAUCGGUUGUAUUACGAUCAGACCACCCCACUUGUAUUCUUUAUACACAUACCCUUUAAUAUUUUCAACAAAACGAUUUAAUAUUAUCAUUACAAUAAGUAAUAAUACAUAAUAUUAUCAUUGAGUAGGUAGGUAUAUUAUAUUAUAAUUAGUAUAUUUUACAAUAUAUACAUAAAUACUCAAUGAUAUAAGAUAUUAUGUUACCAACAUUUUGUAUGUACCUAUACAAUGUAUUAUAUUAUUAUUAUGUUGUUUGUAUACGUUUACUUAUCAUGCUCAAACCUAAAAGGAUGUUUUUUUUUUCUAAAUGAUUAUCAUCGUACCUGCUCAUG